UCUCCAAGGCGCCUUCCUGACC
rnacentral:piRNA from 1 species